GAUGAACGCUGGCGGCGUGCCUAAUACAUGCAAGUCGAGCGAACGGACGAGAAGCUUGCUUCUCUGAUGUUAGCGGCGGACGGGUGAGUAACACGUGUAUAACCUACCUAUAAGACUGGGAUAACUUCGGGAAACCGGCGCUAAUACCGGAUAAUAUUUUGAACCGCAUGGUUCAAAAGUGAAAGACGGUCUUUCUGUCACUUAUAGAUGGAUCCGCGCUGCAUUAGCUAGUUGGUAAGGUAACGGCUUACCAAGGCAACGAUGCAUAGCCGACCUGAGAGGGUGAUCGGCCACACUGGAAGGGAGACACGGUCCAGACUCCUGCGGGAGGCAGCAGUAGGGAAUCGUCCGCAAAGGGCGAGAGCCUGACGGAGCAACGGCGCGUGAGUGAUGAAGGUCUUCGGAUCGUAAAACUCUGUUAUGAGGGAAGAACAGAUGUGUAAGUAACUGUGCAGAUCGUGACGGUAACGAAUCAGAAAGCAACGGCUAACUACGUG
rnacentral:rRNA from 1 species